GACGAACGCUGGCGGCGUGCCUAAUACAUGCAAGUCGAGCGAACAGACGAGGAGCUUGUUCCUCUGACGUUAGCGGCGGACGGGUGAGUAACACGUGGAUAACCUACCUAUAAGACUGGGAUAACUUCGGGAAACCGGAGCUAAUACCGGAUAAUAUAUUUAACCGCAUGGUUCAAUAGUGAAAGACGGUUUUGCUUUCACUUAUAGUUGGAUCCGGGCCGCAUAAGCUAGUUGGUAAGGUAACGGCUUACCAAGCGAACGAUGAUUAGCCGACCUGAGAGGGUGAUCGGCCACACUGGAACUGGAAAACGGUCCAAACUCCUACGGGAGGAGGCGGUAGGGAAUCUUCGGCAUUGAGCGAAGGCCUAACGGGGCAACGCCGCGGGAGUGAUAAGGGUCUUCGGAUCGUAAAACUCUGUUAUUGGGAAGAAACAAAUGUGUAAGUAACUAUGCACGUCUUGACGGUACCUAAUCAGAAAGCCACGGCUAACUACGUG
rnacentral:rRNA from 1 species